AGGGCCUCUUCCCCCAGUCCGGUCCAGGGCAGGCAACUCCACAAUUUGUCUGUCUUCCAUUGUGAGAAGCCUGCCACUGUGUGUAGGCAGCGGAAGUUGGCCCUUGCCCUCUCUGUAAACCCAAGCAUCUUGAGAUCACCUUCAGCAGAGUGGAGCAACCAAGAAAAGAACGAAGAACACUCUAUAAACAGCAAGGGAUAACAGAAGUGUAGGAUUGAUUGUGAGCUUCUCCCCCCAAACUCAGAAAAACUGCCAGGCCUAUGGUAACAUCUCCGUUUUCAGAAGCUCAGAAAAGUAAGCUGCUUGCUCAAGAAUGGACGGCUUCAAGGUGGCAGAGCUGGAAGUUUCUAACUCACUCACCUCAUACUCAGACCUGCACUGUUUUUCAAGACAGUCAAUAUUUCAGGCCAUCUACUGAUUGGAUGAGGCCCACCAGCAUUCUGAAAGACAAGGAAUCUGAGACCUGGCUGGGAGAAGAGGACUUGCCUAAAGUUAUCCCACACAGCAAAUUAGUUGGAAAACCAGGAUAGUUGAGUAAAUAUCCUGGAGCCCAGCCAAGUAAUGAAGCCAGAAUUCAGAAAGCUGUUUUGGCUAGAUCUUGGAUUUUUACAAUAAAGGGUCUGUAAGGGAUAUUUGUGAAAAAUGUUGACACUUGACGGCUGUCCUGAUUCAUUCAGCUACCUAGGUUAUCUCUGCCUCUCUUUGACUUGUGUUUUGUCUUUUAAGAUGGCAGUCUUGCUCUUUUGCCUGGGCUGGUCUUGAACUCCUGGGCUCAAGCAGUUUUCCUGCUUUAGCCUCCUGAGUAGCUGGGGCUACAGGAGGACAUCACUGUGCCCAGCUCUCUCCGUAUCUUUGACUAGGUUAUUUUACAACCCCAUACGAUAGAAAUGAAGUUAUAGAAAACUGAUAGGAAUACAAAUAAUUAUUAUCCAUGGAAAUGCAAAUUGGAUCUAAUGGAAUGAAACUGAUUUUUUUUCCAGCAGAUAGUGACCACCUUUGUAUCCUUUUGUAAAUUCAUUUCAGCAUUCCAUAUUUGACUAAAAAUGUGUGACACUCCCAAUUUGCUUUUGAAUUCAUUGUAAUAUCUACCAAUUCCCUCAUUAAUUAAUGAGUUAAAUAAAGCCUUUGGCAUGUAUUUAUUUUGUAUCUAUAGGAGAGUCAUGAGUAUAUCUUCUUUUAAAAGGUAUUCUUCAGUAGGUCUUAGGGUGCACAAUACUUACAUCUUAUUUUCUCAUUCUACACUGUUCCCACACCUCACCCAGAAUAAAUGUAAUCUCCUGUGAGCUUCUGAACAUCAUGAAGAAUAACAGCUCAUUUUGUAAAGUCAUUUAGUAUUCG
rnacentral:lncRNA from 10 species